UACGAAGGGGGCUAGCGUUGUUCGGAAUUACUGGGCGUAAAGCGCACGUAGGCGGAUAUUUAAGUCAGGGGUGAAAUCCCGGGGCUCAACCUCGGAACUGCCUUUGAUACUGCAAAUCUCGAGUCCGGAAGAGGUGAGUGGAAUUCCUAGUGUAGAGGUGAAAUUCGUAGAUAUUAGGAAGAACACCGGUGGCGAAGGCGGCUCACUGGUCCGGUACUGACGCUGAGGUGCGAAAGCGUGGGGAGCAAACAGG
rnacentral:rRNA from 1 species